GGAAGUAAAAGUCGUAACAAGAUUUCCGUAGGUGAACCUGCGGAAGGAUCAUUAUUGAAUGAAACACUUCUGGCUUUAUGCUGUUGUGCUGGCCCUUUGGGCAAUGUGCACACGGCUCUGGUCACUUGUUUCUUCUGUUCCACCUGUGCACUGCCUGUAGACACGCUGUGUCUAUGAUAUUUGUUAACACACAACAAUGUUAGUUGGCAUGUUAUAUAUAAUAAUAAAACAUACAACUUUCAACAACGGAUCUCUUGGCUCUC
rnacentral:misc_RNA from 1 species